AUUGAACGCUGGCGGCAGGCCUAACACAUGCAAGUCGAACGAGUGGCGGACGGGUGAGUAAUGUCUGGGAAACUGCCCGAUGGAGGGGGAUAACUACUGGAAACGGUAGCUAAUACCGCAUACCAUCGGAUGUGCCCAGAUGGGAUUAGCUAGUAGGUGGGGUAAAGGCUCACCUAGGCGACGAUCCCUCGCUGGUCUGAGAGGAUGACCAGCCACACUGGAACGGAGACACGGUGCAGACGCCUAGGGGAGUCAGCAGGGGGGAAUAUUGCACAAUGGGCGCAAGCCUGAUGCAGCCAUGCCGCGUGUAUGAAGAAGGCCUUCGUGUUGUAAAGUACUUUCAGCGGGGAGGCGUUACCCGCAGAAGAAGCACCGGCUAACUCCGUGACAGCAGCCGCGGUAAUUC
rnacentral:rRNA from 1 species